rnacentral:rRNA from 1 species
GUGGGGAAUAUUGGACAAUGGGGGGAACCCUGAUCCAGCCAUGCCGCGUGAAUGAUGAAGGUCUUAGGAUUGUAAAAUUCUUUCACCGGGGACGAUAAUGACGGUACCCGGAGAAGAAGCCCCGGCUAACUUCGUGCCAGCAGCCGCGGUAAUACGAAGGGGGCUAGCGUUGCUCGGAAUUACUGGGCGUAAAGGGCGCGUAGGCGGACAGUUUAGUCAGAGGUGAAAGCCCAGGGCUCAACCUUGGAAUUGCCUUUGAUACUGGCUGUCUUGAGUACGGGAGAGGUGAGUGGAACUCCGAGUGUAGAGGUGAAAUUCGUAGAUAUUCGGAAGAACACCAGUGGCGAAGGCGACUCACUGGCCCGUUACUGACGCUGAGGCGCGAAAGCGUGGGGAGCAAACAGGAUUAGAUACCCGGGUAGUCC